GGUUGCGUGUGGCUCAGUUGGUAGAGCAUGGCGCUUGCAAUGCCAAGGUUGUGGGUUCAAUUCCCACAGGGGACCA